rnacentral:rRNA from 1 species
GACGAACGCUGGCGGCGUGCCUAAUACAUGCAAGUCGAACGCUUCUUUCCUCCCGAGUGCUUGCACUCAAUUGGAAAGAGGAGUGGCGGACGGGUGAGUAACACGUGGGUAACCUACCCAUCAGAGGGGGAUAACACUUGGAAACAGGUGCUAAUACCGCAUAACAGUUUAUGCCGCAUGGCAUAAGAGUGAAAGGCGCUUUCGGUUGUCGCUGAUGGAUGGACCCGCGGUGCAUUAGCUAGUUGGUGAGGUAACGGCUCACCAAGGCAACGAUGCAUAGCCGACCUGGGAGGGUGAUCGGCAAAACUGGAACUGAGAAACGGCCCAGACUCCAACGGGAGGCAGCAGUAGGAAAUCUUCGGCAAUGGACGAAAGUCUGACCGAGCAACGCCGCGGGAGUGAAGAAGGUUUUCGAAUCGUAAAACUCUGUUGUUAGAGAAGAACAAGGACGUUAGUAACGGAACGUCCCCUGACGGUAUAUAACCAGAAAGCCACGCCUACUACGUG